rnacentral:sRNA from 1 species
ACGGUGGUGGAGGAGGAGGCGGAGGUGGA